AGAGUUUGAUCCUGGCUCAGGACGAACGCUGGCGGCGUGCUUAACACAUGCAAGUCGAACGGAAAGGCCCUUCGGGGUACUCGAGUGGCGAACGGGUGAGUAACACGUGGGUGAUCUGCCCUGCACUUUGGGAUAAGCCUGGGAAACUGGGUCUAAUACCGAAUAUGACCAUGCGCCUCCUGGUGUGUGGUGGAAAGCUUUUGCGGUGUGGGAUGGGCCCGCGGCCUAUCAGCUUGUUGGUGGGGUAAUGGCCUACCAAGGCGACGACGGGUAGCCGGCCUGAGAGGGUGACCGGCCACACUGGGACUGAGAUACGGCCCAGACUCCUACGGGAGGCAGCAGUGGGGAAUAUUGCACAAUGGGCGCAAGCCUGAUGCAGCGACGCCGCGUGAGGGAUGACGGCCUUCGGGUUGUAAACCUCUUUCAGCACAGACGAAGCGCAAGUGACGGUAUGUGCAGAAGAAGGACCGGCCAACUAUGUGCCAGCAGCCGCGGUAAUACGUAGGGUGCGAGCGUUGUCCGGAAUUGCUGGGCGUAAAGAGCUCGUAGGUGGUUUGUCGCGUUGUUCGUGAAAACUCACAGCUUAACUGUGGGCGUGCGGGCGAUACGGGCAGACUUGAGUACUGCAGGGGAGACUGGAAUUCCUGGUGUAGCGGUGGAAUGCGCAGAUAUCAGGAGGAACACCGGUGGCGAAGGCGGGUCUCUGGGCAGUAACUGACGCUGAGGAGCGAAAGCGUGGGGAGCGAACAGGAUUAGAUACCCUGGUAGUCC
rnacentral:rRNA from 1 species